rnacentral:tmRNA from 1 species
GGGAGGGGGCCGAAACAGGAUCGACGAACGUCUAAAGGGGCCAGCUUUCGCUCGGUGAGCCACCACCGUUAUCGGUGCAAAAUGUACAGUUGCCAAUGACAACCGUGCUCCGGCAAUGGCUCUGGCUGCGUAAGCAGUUCGAGUCGCCGAAACUAAGUCCUUGGGCUUAGCAGCUCAAGGCGGGGUCCGCAGGCACCUGGCAACAGAAGCCUGCACU